rnacentral:rRNA from 1 species
CCAAUAGCGUAUAUUAAAGUUGUUGCAGUUAAAAAGCUCGUAGUUGAAUUUCGGGAUCAAUGCGUCGGUCGUGCCUUCGGUACGUACUGGCGACAUUGAUUCCUCCCUUCUGAAGAACCGUGAUGUCAUUAAUUUGGUGUUACGGGGAAUCAGGACUGUUACCUUGAAAAAAUUAGAGUGUUUAAAGCAGGCUAACGCUUGAAUACAUUAGCAUGGAAUAAUGAAAUAGGACGUUCGAACCUAUUUUGUUGGUUUCUAGGAUCGACGUAAUGAUUAAUAGGGAUAGUUGGGGGCAUUAGUAUUCAAUUGUCAGAGGUGAAAUUCUUGGAUUUAUUGAAGACUAACUACUGCGAAAGCAUUUGCCAAGGAUGUUUUCAUUAAUCAAGAACGAAAGUUAGGGGAUCGAAGACGAUCAGAUACCGUCGUAGUCUUAACCAUAAACUAUGCCGACUAGGGAUCGGAUGAUGUUAAUUUUAUAAUGACUCAUUCGGCGCCUUACG